GAAGUUGUUGAACGACCGACUCUGUAAAACUUGAUUCAUCCCGUUCGCAUCGAGGGGGUCAGGGGUUCAAAUCCCCUCAGCUCCA
rnacentral:tRNA from 1 species